AGUUGCGAUCAUACCAGCACUAAUGCACCAGAUCCCAUCAGAACUCCGUAGUUAAGCGUGCUUGUGCGAGAGUAGUACUAGGAUGGGUGACCCCCUGGGAAGUCCUCGUGUUGCAACCCC
rnacentral:rRNA from 1 species